UCUGGCAGCGACAAAGUGUCAGAGCUUUCUGGACAAGCGGCGAUAAUCAAGAAUGAAACGUGCCCUACAGCUAGCUAGCUUCGAGAGUGUUGCACAUCGCAGUGUCAAACGAAACGGCAAUAUCAGUCAACAAGACCGAGUACCGCUUUACGACGAGAGUGAGCCCGCCUCGCACCCAUCCAAAACAGCGUGAAACUGGCAAAAAAUAUUCUAACCCUAAAAUUAACUUGGGCUGUUCGUACAGAAGGAGCACGCUUCAGAGAAAGAGUCGUGUGGGCAUCCUUGUGUUCCGCAAGGCGUGCCUAGCCUUCAAAUUUCUUGCGUUUGCUCUGAUCAAGCUUUUGCGCAGUUUUUUCCAGUGUAUCGUUUAACAAAAAGUUACAGCUGUUUUGUACUGAGCAGGUUACAGGAACUAAUGCCAUCUGUAAAUAUCUCUUACAGCCGUGCUGUUUGAAGUCAUCACAGAUAUAAACUACACGUUGCAGCAACUCUCAAUUGCAUUCCUCCCCGUCAUGUCGAACAGCGUAGCGCUAAUUUCAGUUUGAGGUCUGCACUCUUACUACAAUGCAGAUGGUGACAGCAUCAGGCUGCACUCGGUUACCGUCGUGAAUCAUGGACCUAGACUGCACUCUUAGGCCCACUCCUUUUUGGUGGAUCGGGUCUUGCCAUCUUCCCCUUUCAUGGCUUCCUGACGUAAUUAAAUAAAUUCUCAUAUUUUUUUCUGA